rnacentral:rRNA from 1 species
AGGGCGCACGGUGGAUGCCUUGGCACUAGGAGCCGAUGAAGGACGGAACUAAUACCGAUAUGCUUCGGGGAGCUAUAAGUAAGCUUUGAUCCGGAGAUUUCCGAAUGGGGGAACCCAGUACACAUCAGUGUAUUGCUUGUCAGUGAAUACAUAGCUGGCCGGCGGCAGACGCGGGGAACUGAAACAUCUCAGUACCCGCAGGAAGAGAAAGAAAACUCGAUUCCCAUAGUAGCGGCGAGCGAAGUGGGAAGAGCCCAAACCGAGAAGCUUGCUUCUCGGGGUUGUAGGACUGGACAUUGGAGUUACCAAAGUCCGACGUAGUCGAAGUCAGCUGGAAAGCUGCGCCACAGAAGGUGAAAGCCCUGUAAGCGAAACGUCGAACCCUCCGUCCAGGAUCCUGAGUACGGCGGAACACGUGAAAUUCCGUCGGAAUCCGGGAGGACCAUCUCCCAAGGCUAAAUACUCCCUAGUGACCGAUAGUGAACCAGUACCGUGAGGGAAAGGUGAAAAGCACCCCGGAAGGGGAGUGAAACAGUUCCUGAAACCGUGUGCCUACAAUUAGUCAAAGCCCGUUAAUGGGUAAUGGCGUGCCUUUUGUAGAAUGAACCGGCGAGUUACGUUUGCUUGCGAGGUUAAGAUGAAAAGUCGGAGCCGUAGCGAAAGCGAGUCUGAACAGGGCGAAUGAGUAAGCAGAUGUAGACCCGAAACCAAGUGACCUACCCAUGACCAGGUUGAAGGUGUGGUGAAACACACUGGAGGACCGAACCCAUGUAUGUUGAAAAAUGCUGGGAUGAGUUGUGGGUAGCGGUGAAAUUCCAAACGAACUUGGAGAUAGCUGGUUCUCUCCGAAAUAGCUUUAGGGUUAGCCUCGGAGGAUGGAUCAUGGAGGUAGAGCACUGUUUGAACUAGGGGCCCAUCAAGGGUUACUGAAUUCAGAUAAACUCCGAAUACCAUCGAUCUUACUCCGGGAGUCAGACAGUGAGCGAUAAGGUCCAUUGUCGAAAGGGGAACAGCCCAGAUCACCAGUUAAGGUCCCUAAAUUUAUGCUAAGUGGAAAAGGAUGUGGCGUUGCACAGACAACUAGGAUGUUGGCUCAGAAGCAGCCACCAUUUAAAGAGUGCGUAAUAGCUCACUAGUCGAGUGGCACUGCGCCGAAAAUAUACCGGGGCUAAGCAUAAUACCGAAACUGUGGGUGCACCCGUAAGGGUGCGCGGUAGGAGAGCGUUCUAAGGGCGUUGAAGGUCGAUCGUGAGGACGGCUGGAGCGCUUAGAAGUGAGAAUGCCGGCAUGAGUAGCGAAAGAUCAGUGAGAAUCUGAUCCACCGUAUGACUAAGGUUUCCUGGGGAAGGCUCGUCCUCCCAGGGUUAGUCGGGAUCUAAGGCGAGGCCGAGAGGCGUAGUCGAUGACAAGCAGGUUGAGAUUCCUGCACUAGUUUAUUUUGUUUAAGCGAUGGAGGGACGCAGGAGGCUAAGGAAAGCGCACGGCUGGAAAUGUGCGCCCAAGCAGCAAGUCUGACAGCGAGUGAAAUGCUUGCAGUCUUAAGGACAAGCUGUGAUGGGGAGCGAAAUUAUAGUAGCGAAGUUCCUGAUGUCACACUGCCAAGAAAAGCUUCUAGUGAGAAAUAAACUACCCGUACCGCAAACCGACACAGGUAGUCGAGGAGAGUAUCCUCAGGUGAGCGAGCGAACUCUCGUUAAGGAACUCGGCAAAAUGACCCCGUAACUUCGGAAGAAGGGGUGCUGACCGCAAGGUCAGCCGCAGUGAAUAGGCCCAAACAACUGUUUAUCAAAAACACAGGUCUCUGCUAAAUCGUAAGAUGAUGUAUAGGGGCUGACGCCUGCCCGGUGCUGGAAGGUUAAGAGGAUGAGUUAGCGCAAGCGAAGCCCAGAAUUGAAGCCCCAGUAAACGGCGGCCGUAACUAUAACGGUCCUAAGGUAGCGAAAUUCCUUGUCGGGUAAGUUCCGACCCGCACGAAAGGCGUAAUGAUUUGGGCACUGUCUCAACGAGAGACUCGGUGAAAUUAUAGUACCCGUGAAGAUGCGGGUUACCCGCGACAGGACGGAAAGACCCCAUGGAGCUUUACUGUAGCUUGAUAUUGAGUGUUUGUACCGCUUGUACAGGAUAGGUAGGAGCCGUAGAGAUCGGAACGCUAGUUUCGAUGGAGGCGUUGGUGGGAUACUACCCUAGCUGUAUGAACACUCUAACCCGCGCCACUAAUCGUGGCGGGAGACAGUGUCAGGUAGGCAGUUUGACUGGGGCGGUCGCCUCCUAAAAUGUAACGGAGGCGCCCAAAGGUUCCCUCAGAAUGGUUGGAAAUCAUUCGCAGAGUGUAAAGGUAUAAGGGAGCUUGACUGCGAGACUGACAAGUCGAGCAGGGACGAAAGUCGGGCUUAGUGAUCCGGUGGUUCCGUAUGGAAGGGCCAUCGCUCAACGGAUAAAAGCUACCCUGGGGAUAACAGGCUUAUCUCCCCAAGAGUCCACAUCGACGGGGAGGUUUGGCACCUCGAUGUCGGCUCAUCGCAUCCUGGGGCUGUAGUCGGUCCCAAGGGUUGGGCUGUUCGCCCAUUAAAGCGGUACGCGAGCUGGGUUCAGAACGUCGUGAGACAGUUCGGUCCCUAUCCGUCGCGGGCGCAGGAAAUUUGAGAGGAGCUGUCCUUAGUACGAGAGGACCGGGAUGGACGUUCCGCUGGUGUACCAGUUGUGCCGCCAGGCGCAUCGCUGGGUAGCUAUGAACGGCAGGGAUAAACGCUGAAAGCAUCUAAGUGUGAAGCCCCCUCGAGAUGAGAUUUCCCAUUCCU